CACACAUCCGUUGAAAGUGGUGACACUGGAGCCGAGCUGUGAAGGCCGAGUAGGAACUAACCACGCAGGUCCAGUUAAUAUCUACAGAUGAAAGGCAAUCUAAUACUAUUACUCAGAAGAUAAAACCACGGAUGAGACCCGGACCAGCUAGGUCUCCUGCCACUUGCUGAGCCCCCGCCUCCUGCCGCCUGGAUCAUGAUCAGUCUCCUAACUGGACUCCCUCCCUGCCUUUCAGCCUUUCCAGCUGGGAGCUUCCCUUUGCCACUAUGCUCUCUGUGAAGCACACAUCUGAUCAGCCAGUCAUUCUAAUCAUGUUAGUGCUUAGCAUGGACAAGGCAACAUAUCCGCGUGCUCUGGGGAGCUAGCCGAGUGAACCAGAUGUGGAUCCUGCCCCCACCAUGUUUGCAAUCUGCCACGGAAGAUAACUACACAAAGAAAUAACCAUAUUGCGGGGAUCCCUGGGGGGCU